UACGUAGGGGCCAAGCGUUGUCCGGAUUUACUGGGCGUAAAGCGUGCGCAGGCGGUUGUGCAAGACAGGUGUGAAAUCCCCGGGCUUAACCUGGGAACUGCACUUGUGACUGCACGGCUAGAGUACGGUAGAGGGGGAUGGAAUUCCGCGUGUAGCAGUGAAAUGCGUAGAUAUGCGGAGGAACACCAAUGGCGAAGGCAAUCCCCUGGACCUGUACUGACGCUCAUGCACGAAAGCGUGGGGAGCAAACAGG
rnacentral:rRNA from 1 species